AUCCAGGUGUCAUUCAUGGGUUUGGGUACAUUUCCUAACACUUCACUAACUCUGGUGUAGGAUGCUGAUUAAAUGCUAAGAAAUGUGAAUUUAGGAGAAAAAAUGAACUUGAAGCUGCGAGUCUAAGAGAGAAAUAUUAGUAGCAAAUACACAAUAAAAAUGCAGUUGUUGGUGGGGGGGAUUCAGAGCAGUGGGGGCACUGCCUCUAGGAAGUGUUGGGAGUGGGAUGAGCGAGGCUGGAUAGCCCAGGAUGCAGAGGGGUGAGGGAGAGACAGGAGUGGGAAGUGAACAGAAGCACCUGAGCCUCAGGCAGAAGUCUUGGGGACAAAAUAAUUAAGAUAUUUUUCUGCUUAAGAAAGCAUGGGACCUGCUAAAAGCACUUUGUUUUUUUCCCCUCCAGCAGGACCAAGCUGGCCAGAGAAGAGGUUUGGUAAAUCCAAGCUUUGAAGCAGCUCAGGUCCAUCAAGCCAUGGCUUCCCCAGGAAAAGCCUUUUCUCUACCUUGUCUGCUGGCUGCUGAAGGAAGGGCAAGUUCUCCUCCAGCUGAUCCAGUCCUUUGCAGGCAUAUUCAUUCACAAGUGCAACUAGAAGAGACAACAGCUCUCAAAAACUGGUUUGAAAGCAUCAAUUAAGCUUCCUGUUGUCUGUCUGCAAGAUCGGCGGGGGAGGAAACUGAGGCACAGGGAACUGGGAUUCAAGACAUGAGUCCUGUGUGUUUUUUUCUGGGUGUUGGCCUGACAUGGACAGUGCUGCUUCCUCAGAUUAAGUGUCAGGGAUCAAACUGUCUGGGUUCAUGGAUGUGAAGUGCCCAAGUGGGCCAGUUGUGGUGGUGAUGGUGAAAGUCUCGUGAGACAGGUUGUAUUUCAUCACCUAAGUGGGUGAUCCACGAGACACCUUCAUGUGGCUGCAGUGGGGCACAGAGGAAUGUGAGCAGAAGUGGCAAGUGGCACAUUAACACAAGUGUUAAUUAUAAUUAACCAGGCAGUGUUUAAUAUCUAAUGAGUGGCUUUGAUAGUAGGGUAAAAUACCGAUGCCCAGAGCUCCUGCUUGGGGGUAGAACAGGCUCAGAACACUGAAUUUUGGGGGUUGCAACACCAGGGCAAAGCCUUGCCUGAUCAUCUCUGUGCCCCUUGUUACUGCCUAAAAUCCAGAGAUUUAAAUCUGAGCUAAAACCAGCCCAGAGAGGUUUGGUGGGUGUGGGAAGGGCGUGGGAGGAAGCGGAGAAACACGUUUGGGGAAGGGAAAGGGAGCAGUGUGGGCUGGAGCGUCAGGAACUGCUGCCCUGUGCAAAGCUGCAGCUUUGAGACACGGGGCAGAACCCUCCAGGUGGCUGAGAGGUGUAACCCCCACCUCCUGUGCCUGUCAGGAGCCAGGAGAUCCCCCCCUCUGCAGCCCUGCAGCUUUACAGCUCUCCUUCCAGCUGCCUCCUGGCUCUGCCUGGGGACAAACCCUCUCCAGCCUCGUGCUUCUCCCUUGGCCCAGUCCUGCUUGGAUUUCUGUUGAGCAGAAACCCUGCAGGGACGUGAAGGAUUUGGAGGAUCAGGCCCUUCUCCUGGGUCCCAGCUGUUGGGAGCAGCUCCCUUUCCCUGCUCUGAGCUGCGUCACAGCUCAACAUUGUCCCUUUGGGGACCGGAGGCCACAUGUGACACUGGAGUUCCCCGUCUGCAACCAUUCCUCUGCUGCAAAGGAAAUGAUCUCCCUGAUCUCCCGAGGCAUUUACUCCACGAGGACCUGCCAGGAGCCCAUGGUCACCUGCCCUGGGGCGGGCACAGGCACGAGAGGUGGUGAUUCAGGGCUGAGCCAUGUGUUGCUUUGAUUCUGCUCCCUGGUUAAACCCUUGGGCUUCCAGCAACCUGCCUGAGCAGCUCUGUGUGGCUGAGCCUCCAGCACAGCCUUGGCUGGAGCCCACUGAGGGGAUGAGGUUGGCUCAGUGUCACUCCUUGCUGUGCCAAGCCCUCAAGGUGUUUGCUGACAGCCCCAUCUCUUCACUUCAUCAGCUUCCUCACAUUCCUGUUUUCCUCUCCUCCACCAUUUUGCCUCGUGGUCCUCGGGGAAGGGGUGCCAGGAAUAGUUUCAGCUGGUCACAUCACCUCAAAAAACUCUUUCUUUCCCCUCGUGCUCCAGCUUCCUGCACUGCAGCAGUUGGUGCUCACUGGAGCACCUUAGGGGGCUUACUUAAGUUGAGUUAAACACCACUUAGGGAAUGUUGAGUGUCCUUGAGAUGGUCCAGCAGGGCUGGGGGUCGGGAUUCAGAGCAGAGGGAUGGAGGCAGGGCCGUGGCAGGAGGAGAUUCCUUGCAGGAUCCUGCCUGUCAGCUUCUCUCCCUAGUCUUUGCCUGAUGACCUCUGAAGGCAACAGCCCUCAAAGUGCCCUGGCCUCCUUGAAAACAACCCUCCAGGGACUACCAAAAGCUUCAGCCCAGCUCCUGCCUCCCAGCCAACCUUCCUGGUCCCUCCUGGUCCUUCAGAGCAUCCUCCUGAUUCAGGACACGCUGCAGCUCUCUGCUGCCCUCCCCCUGCAUCAGCUCAAAAGGACUCUCCUGUCUCCUGUGCCUGGAUUCCCAGCUCACCUGGAGGGUUCUCCAGCCCCUUCUUCCCUUCCAGCAGCUCACCCGAGUUCUCCAGCCCCUGUUCCCUUUCCAGCCCCUUCUUUCCUUCCAGCAGUAGCCCUGGGUCCCUCAGCCCCUGCUCCCCUUCCAGCAGCUCAUCCAACAGGCAGGUGGUGGCAGGUUCCUGCUCCCCUUCCAGCUGCUGUGCCCUCGUGGAAGGGAACAGCCUGAUGGUUCCUGGCUGCUCUCCCAGUACUCCAGUUCACCUUUCUGCUGCUUUUCAGGCUGCAGGAUGGUUUCCUGCAUGCCCAGCUGCUCCCCCCUCUGCUCCUGCACUUUUGCCUCCUACCUGAGGUAGAGGUGAGGUGGGGUCACUUAAUGCUGGUUGUUUUUGGUGGGUGAGAGAGGGGAUGUCACCUGGGCCUGCCAAAUGUGUCCCCUCCAUCUCAGGUCCUUGCUGAGCCCCUACUUUUGCUUCCCCAGAGACACAGGCCUCCUUUGCACUCCCCAGUCUUGGAGUUUGGCCAAGCUUUACCCCAGUUCUUUUGGAAAUUGGGCUCUGGAUCAUCCCAGAAAACAUGUGGGAACUGGAACACACCUGCACUGCUCCCCCUUUCCUGUGGCCCCACUGCUUCCCCUGGGGGAAGGUUUCUCUCUGUGCUCCUUGUGACAGGACUGAAUCAUCCCUUGGCCUUGGGAACAGCUAUGCAAGGAAUAUGUGUUUGUAAAAGCAUAAAUGUCAGUGCCUGUGUCCUGCUUUUGGCUGGGAUGGAGUUAAUUUUCCUCCCAGUAGCUGUGUUUUGGAUUUAGGAUGGGAGCAGUGUUGAUAACACACCGAUGUUGUGGUUGUUGCUGAGUUGUGCUUACUCUGAGUCAAGGAAUUCUCAGUUUCCCAGGGGCUCAAGGAGCUGGGGGGGAGCACAGCCAGGACAACUGAGGGAUAUUCCAUUCCAUAAACACCCUGCCCAGUAGAGAAACAGGGAAGGGGCCAACUGGGGCCAAUCCCCCUGCUGUGGGACGAGUCAGUGGGUGCUGAGCAACUGUUGUGCUGCUCUUGUUUCCCUUGGGUUUCAUUCCUCCCUUUCUCCUUUUCACUACAGUUAUUAGAAUUAUUAUCAUUACUAUUAUUAUAAUUCUUCUUCACCCAAGACUUGUUUUAAUCAGCUGGUGGUUCUCAUGUACAGGCCUGGACUUUGGUUUCUCCUAAAACAUUGUGCCAAAACUUCACUUUGAGCAAUAGUCCCAUGGCCUGGGAGUCUGUCAGAACUUUGUCCUGCUAAGUGCAUCUCUUUGGAAAUGAAUUCAACAAUUCUUUAAGGUUCCCUAAACUGAACUGGAUGUCCCUGCUGGCAGAAUUCAUAUUGUUUCCUCGUACCAGGUGGCAAAACAGUGUUUUCAGUCAGAAUUGGAACUCCAAAGGAAAGAAAGGCCUAAAAGAGUCCAAAAGGGAGGGAAAUAAAGCUCAUCACUGCAUUACAACCCAGCCAUGUUCCUUAUUCUGACAGUUUGUGGACACUUGAUCCUCCCAGGCCUUUAUCUCGCUGAGUUCUGGUUAAGCUACUCCAGCUUUAGUAGAAGAGGGGACCUUAAGAGCAGAGCAUAAAUAAUUGAGCCUCUAAUGAAAUCAAUGUUCCACUACUAGAAUGAUCUAGAAUUGAGCCAUAUUUUAAGUUUCAUUGAACCUUAAUUUAAGUGGUUUGGGGCCCCAGCUGAGGAGUGUGUAGGAUGCAGCACCGUGUUUGCUGUGUGGGGAUUCACUGAAUGAGUAAAAACUUCUCUAGAAA